GGGGAGUUAGCUUAGCGAGGUUAGAGCAAGGGUGUACACACAAAACAGUGCCUAAGGCGCAGGUUCGAUUCCUGUACUCUCCACAA
rnacentral:tRNA from 1 species